AUGACGUGCAGAAGAGUCCUUGUCGCACCCCAGGCGGGAGUGAUGCAGGCGAAAAACACACCUGAUUCCUUUGGGUCUCCAUGGCAGCAGGGCCAGAUAAUGACGCUCCAUCAGCAGGAAGAGGCUGAUCCUGUGACAGAGGGUGUUUUCAAGGUCAUAUCGCCUAGGAGCCUCUGCCUGGAUGGAAGACGAAUCUGGUAUCUAAGCUUCUCCCUUAAAGCUGUCAGUGAAGCCACUGCCAACUGGAGUGCUUCCGAGUUCCUCCUAAACUCCUGCAUAUGUGUAGUUAAGUCACUUGAAAAGAAAAUAUAAAUGGUCCAAACUCAUCAGUCCACUGUAACUGUACAUGGAGUAUUCAGUUUGCCAUUAAAUUAUGAUUAUCUUGAUUGUUCCCUAAUGUCUUUUUUCUGUCCCAGGUGUGAUUGCUGUUUAUCUUGAAUCUCGCCAGAUAGUAUGGCAAGAACUGUAAAACCCCACACCCAAAAGGCUGAAAGGACCUAAAGCCCAGUUAGAGAAAGAAUUUGAAUAUUAGUUGAUUAACAAACAGACAGGUCCAGAGAGGGGUUGGGUCAUGCAACGCCCCCCUACAUACACACAAACAAACUAUGAGCCCACAGUAUUCCAAGGACACGUUAAAACUUAAAUGACAAAUAGGAACUUGAUACAGUUCAUUCUUAAAGCCAAGGAAAUAAGGUCAUGCAUAACUAAAGACCAACAGCAAGAUAUUGCCUAAACCAUCCUUCAUUUAAACCACCUUGAGCAGGUUCUCUUGCAAGUGGAAGAGAAAGCAGAGAAAGAGAGAGAGGAACCACCAUUGCAAUGAUUUCCAAACAGGUAGAAUCAAAAGGUUGAAAUUUUCAACCAAGAGUUUUAUGUCAUUACAACAGGAGCCUCUCUUAUCUAGGACGGGAUUCCUACCGCGUGGCUGCAGUGUGAUAAAGAAGAAUCAGCUAUCAGUUUCUCACAUUAUCAUACUUCACACAUAGGCACAGUUGUCAUAACCAAUGAACCAAUAUAGAUACACUGUUUUCUUGAUUGUCCCCUA
rnacentral:lncRNA from 1 species